UGCACCCUGGGAGUUGUAGUCCGGUGGCACGGCCCACGAGGCCCGCGAGCGUUCGCACAGGGCAGUUAACGCCCGCGCUGGAGACCUGACUUCUGGCCUGUCGCCUUUGAAGAGGUGAGAGUGCGUGCGUCAGCCUACCUGGGACGACUGUCAGCAGCUUUUGCAGGUCCUAUUCACCACCGAGGAGAGGGAGAGGAUCCUCAAUGAGGCCCGAAAACUAGUUCCGGGCGUGGAUGGGAAUCCUACCACCAGCCAGGCUCAGAUAGAUACCUCUUUUCCUCUAACUAGGCCUGAAUGUGAUUUCAACACGGCAGAAGGUAAGGAGAGGCUCUGGGUCUACCGCCAGACUCUAAUGGGGGGUCUUCAGAUGGCUGCUAGGAAGCCGACUAAUUUGGCUAAGGUAGGAAAUGUACAGCAGGAGAAGGAUGAAUCUCCAGCGGCCUUCCUAGAGCGGGUCAUGGAGGCGUUCUGUACCUAUACCCCCAUGGACCCAGAGACUCUUGAGAACAAGGCGGCUGUUAUCAUGGCCUUUGUAAAACAAUCUGCUGCAGACAUUAGGAGAAAACUGCAGAAGAUAGAAAGACGAGGGGAGAAAAGUCUUCAGGACUUGCUGGUAGUAGCCGAAAAGGUGUACAACAACCGGGAGCCCCCUGAAGAUAAACAGGCUUACGCCGUGGUGGCUGCCAGCAGUAAGCAAACCCGAGACCUGGCCAGGAUUCUGCUGGCUACCACCGUGGACUCUCCCUAGGAACGGGACCGCCGCCUCCGACAGCUUGCGAGUGAUCGGAAAAGAGAGGGCUCCAGAGGGCGCACGAGCACAUUUGGCCGUGCCUCCGUGCCAUCUAUGAGGCUGGCCUGACCACGACGCCUCAUCAGUGCAGACCGGGAGACUGGGUUUUUGUCAAGAGGCACCGCCGGGAGACCCUUGAGCUGCGUUGGAAGGGCCCCUACGUCGUAGUGCUGACUACACCCACGGCUCUCAAGGUAGACGGCGUCACAACCUGGGUCCACCACACCCACGUCCUCCCAGCUGAUCCCUCUGCAGUCCGGGAGGACCUCGUCACACAAUGGAACCUCGAUCACAAUCAGCGCAACCCGCUCAAGCUCAAGCUACGGCGCAUUCAACCCGCCUGAUGUUGGUAACUCUAUUGACCCUGUUCGCUGUCGCCCAUACUGCCGGGAGUCCCCACGCCCCCUACAAUCUAACCUGGCAGAUCAUAGACACCAGCUCGGGGACAGUACUUAAUCAGACUUCCCAGAUUCACCCUAAGAACACUUGGUACCCGGACCUUUACAUAGAUUUGCUAGACCUCAUCCACGUUUCAUGGGACCCUAGCUUCACCCGGGGCCACCAUUUCUAUGUCUGUCCCGGGCACUCACGGACUCCGCCGGGGCACACCCGGGACCCAUGCGGAGGAGCAGAGGACUACUUCUGCGCCUCCUGGUCGUGUGUCUCGACUGGACACAUCUGGUGGACUCCCCCAAAAACCGAUGACCUGAUAACCAUGGCUCGGCCAGCGGCACCGGCCUGUCAGAAAUAUAGCAAGGGUCUCCACACCCCAUGCAACCCUGUGCGGAUAUCCUUCACAGAACAGGGAAAGAAAGCAACAGGAUGGGACACUGGUAAAACCUGGGGAAUUCGCCUCUAUGAUAAGACUAGACUCGGGGCUAUGGACCAUGGAAGAUUAUUUACCCUUCGAGUACAGGCAGCACCCUCUCACCAACAGACUCCAGCAGGAGUAGGGCCUAACCAAGUGCUGGCCCCCCAACCUGUCCCUACCCAGGCGUCCCCGCCCAAGAGCACCCGGGCCCCGGCCUCAUAGUCCUCUGCAUCCCUUGUCCCUACCGGGGCAUCCUCCGCAUCCUCUACCCCAUUCUGUACCUCAGCAUCUGACACAGACCCCCUGUGGAGCAUGGUCAUAGGAGCAUAUCAUGUUUUAAAUGCUUCCUGACCCGACCUGACCGAGUCCUAUUGGCUCUGUCUCAAUGUCCGGCCACCAUAUUAUGAAGGUAUUGCUAUUAGAGGCAAUUAUAUGACGGCCUCCAAUUCCAGCUCCUGCAGGUGGCAGCAGGCCACCGCAAGACUAACCCUCCAAGCAGUAAUGGGGCAAGGUACUUGCAUAGGCCAAGUGCCCCCUGAACAAUCACAUCUUUGUCUAUCAGUCCCUAGUGGGACAGCUUACCUGCUCCCCCCCGAAAAUGCAUGGUGGGCCUGUUCCAGCGGCCUCGCUCCCUGCAUCCACUCCCAAAUCCUCAACUCCUCAAAAGAAGGUUUUUGCAUACUCGUCCAGCUAAUCCCCAAGCUAGUAUAUCAUUCGGGGGAGGAAAUACUUAGCAGGUUAGGUUCUGCUAACCCCUGGAGUAGGAGAGAACCUGUCACAGCCCUAACCCUGGCUGCGCUCUUAGGGCUGGGACUAGCAGGGGCAGGAACUGGGAUAUCCUCGCUUGUCAUACAAGACAAGAACUAUGAAACCCUAAGAACAGCCAUUGACCUAGACAUAGAAAGAAUUGAAAAAUCCAUUACCCAUCUGCAAGAAUCCCUUACUUCCUUAUCUGAGGUAGUACUCCAGAACAGAAGAGGAUUAGACUUAUUAUUCAUGUAGCAAGGAGGCCUAUGUGCAGCCCUAGGGGAGGAGUGUUGUUUUUAUGUUGACCAUUCAGGAGUUAUUAAGGAAUCCAUGGCCCUCAUAAGAGAGGGACUGCAGAAGCGGAAGCUAGAAAGGGAGCAAUCUCAGUCUUGGUAUAAGUCUUUAUUUAACUGGUCCCCAUGGUUAACUACUCUUAUUUCCGCCCUCGCUGGACCCCUUGUAAUCCUGUUGACCUUCGGCCCUUGCAUUAUCAACGGACUAGUCCAGUUUGUCAAAGAGCGUAUAGGGGCGGUUCAGUUGAUGGUUUUGCGCGCCCAGUACAGGCCUCUAGAAGCAGAAGACGAGGUAGAAAUGCAGUCCGUCCCAUGAUUGGGCCCGUGAGUUCCAAGACAAGGGGGGAAUGAAAGGGCAGAGCAGGACUGACUCCAUUUUGUCCUGUGUCCUCCAUCUUGUGUAACUAUGUCCCUGACAUGACCCCUUCUCCAAGAAAAAACACAGAAUGUGUCAGUUACCCAGCUCACCCUUAAAUCAGCCAAUGGGAAUGCAAGGGGAACUAACCUAAGGCCAAAAGUAUGCUGACCGCAUCCUGUCUUUGUGUAACCGGACCCUAGCCCAUCUUGUCUUUGUGUCACUGGACCCUAGCCCUCACCCAACCAAUCGGAAUCGGCCAACUCAGUGGCCUGAGAAUCACCCCACCACCCGACCCCAAGCCCUAUAAAAUUGCUGUGUUUCUGGAACUCGGGGCUCUUUUGCAUCCUGCCGCUGCGUCGGUGGAGGCGGAGAGACCGGGCUCGAGCUAGAAUAAAGGCUCUUUGCUUUUGCAUC